GACGAACGCUGGCGGCGUGCUUAACACAUGCAAGUCGUACGGUAAGGCCCUUUCGGGGGUACACGAGUGGCGAACGGGUGAGUAACACGUGAGUAACCUGCCCACAACUUUGGGAUAACGCUAGGAAACUGGUGCUAAUACUGGAUAUGUGCUCCUGCUGCAUGGUGGGGGUUGGAAAGCUCCGGCGGUUGUGGAUGGACUCGCGGCCUAUCAGCUUGUUGGUGGGGUAGUGGCCUACCAAGGCGGCGACGGGUAGCCGGCCUGAGAGGGUGACCGGCCACAUUGGGACUGAGAUACGGCCCAGACUCCUACGGGAGGCAGCAGUGGGGAAUAUUGCACAAUGGGCGCAAGCCUGAUGCAGCAACGCCGCGUGCGGGAUGACGGCCUUCGGGUUGUAAACCGCUUUCAGCAGGGACGAAGCUUUUUGUGACGGUACCUGCAGAAGGAGCACCGGCUAACUACGUG
rnacentral:rRNA from 1 species